CCCUGUGACUACAGGAUUAGAACUUCAAGCCUACCUUCUGACCUAGAGGUUGAAUUAGUCACCAACAACCAAAGAUUUAAUCAAUCAUGUCUACAUAACAAAGCCUGUAUAAAAAUCCCAAAGGGCAAGGUUCAGAGAGCUUCUGGGUUAGUGAACACGUGAAUGUGCUGGAUGAGAGUCCCUUCCCUCAUACCUUGCUAUAUGCAUCUCUUCCAUAUGGCUGUUCUUGACCUAUAUCCUCUUAAACUGGUAAUCUGCAGAUAAUGCUUAGCAGAUGUUGCUGAUGAACAUCUGGAAUUGACCGAAUGACUCAUCUUUGUGCCAGGGCCAAACAGCAGCAAACUUGGAACUAUUACAGCUUUUAAUGAAAAGCCACAGUGGUUGUAUCCUUUGCACAUAAUUUUGCAACUAGAAUAAUUCAUCACAGAAUGCUGUUUUAUCUUCUUCCUUGGAAAGUAUGGAAUUAUGGCAAAAACUAUAAUUCCUUAAGGAAUAAAGACCAAAAAACUUUA